AUUGAGGCAGCAUAAUUUUUGCUAGUUUUUUAUACUCUUCAAUCAGUUAUUGAUCUUUUAGGUACUUAUCAGUACCUUAUAUACUCGUAUUGAAUCAAUUGGCAAUGUGGCAUGUCUCAUUCUAUAGGUAUUGGAUCAUGUCAGUACAGGGAGGAUCACGUGAUAGGUCACAUGACUUGAUAUCAACUGCCACUCCUUGUGUGAACGGGUGGGAGUGUUCCUGGCACCCACUUCAAAGUCCCGUAAGGCACUGUUUGCUGAUGGUAUUGGAGAGAAAUCAAAGAGUAAUUAUUUACUGACAAUGCUGAAGGAUAUUACAUAUUUUUGUCUUCCUCUCCACUAGUAGUGUGUAUUGGUGAACAGUUGGACAGAUGGCACAUGGUGUAUUGUACACUGGUGAGGGAGUGUUCAGUAAUGUAGUAAAAUUGAGAUACAUCAAGAUCAAGUCAAGAAGAGUGUGUACUCUUGCUGUAAUCAACAGGAUAAUUAUACUCAACUUUGAAGAGGACAAAGAGAAGAAUAAUGGACUAUCAAAUGAUAUAGAGAAUGAGACAAAUAUUUCUUUAGACGUUAUUGAUUCCAAAAAAGAAGCACAAACACAAAAAACUUAAAAACACAAACACAAGAAUCAUCACAGAAGAUCCAUUGAGGAAGAUACUGACUGUCAUAAGACUCACUCAACUAAAAGAGAUAAGAACGAGUCCUCUCAGAAUGGCCACUCCUCACUGCUAAAUGACUCCACCGAUUUCUCAUCAUUCCUUGGAGAUUAUGGCUAGACCAGUCAGAACUAUUACAAGUAAUGCUACAUUUCGAAGUGUGGCAGAGGAAGGGUUGAAAGAGAGUGCAGAACCGCUGGAUUUUGUAUCUGUGGAAAAUAUAUAUCUGGCACAGAAUUAGGUGUCCCAAGAGAAAAGUCUUGUCUUUGUCAAACAAGCGGUCAUCAUAGAGAUGGUCACCAUAGCAGCCAUCAUGCUCGCCUGAGAGGAGAAGGCGUUUUUGUUUCCUGUGACAAAUAUCUCACUUUCCAUGAUUGAAGCCACCAAGGAGAUUGAAAGAGGUGAUAGUGACCACAGGAACGUUCCCCAUUCCCCAAUCAAGAUGAUCUCAUUCUACUUGAAGGAGAGAGAGGAGGAGGGAGGAGAGAUUAUGAUAGGACCUCCCCUGGUAGGAGGAGGAGGAGUAGAUCAAUGGAGAAUAAGAGAUCAAACUCAACUAAGAAGAAUCUGGACUGGGCCAGACUAAAUGUACUUGUAGGAGGAGCAGAUCAGUUUCAAGAAGGAGAAGGGAUGAUCCCCUCUCUCUACUAGGAGACCAACCAGUCCUACCAGGAGAAGGUCUCGUUCCCCUAUAGACACAGUCCUUGCUCACGGUCACCAUGAUGAUAACCUCGUCAUUGUAGGAGGACUCUCCCAUGUAGGAGAUCUCGUUCUUCUCUGGGGCAGUCAUCAAGGAGACAGGAUAGAUGAGGGACCUCACGUGAGGGGAAGAGAGAGGAGAAGGAGAGAGACUUUGAAGA